GAAUUCAACUCCUACGGGAGGCAGCAGUGGGGAAUUUUGGACAAUGGGGGAAACCCUGAUCCAGCCAUGCCGCGUGAGUGAAGAAGGCCUUCGGGUUGUAAAGCUCUUUCAGCCGGAACGAAAAGGUUACGGUUAAUACCCGUGACUAAUGACGGUACCGGAAGAAGAAGCACCGGCUAACUACGUGCCAGCAGCCGCGGUAAUACGUAGGGUGCGAGCGUUAAUCGGAAUUACUGGGCGUAAAGCGUGCGCAGGCGGUUUUGUAAGUCAGAUGUGAAAUCCCCGGGCUCAACCUGGGAACUGCGUUUGAAACUACAAGGCUAGAGUGUGGCAGAGGGGGGUGGAAUUCCACGUGUAGCAGUGAAAUGCGUAGAGAUGUGGAGGAACACCGAUGGCGAAGGCAGCCCCCUGGGUUAACACUGACGCUCAGGCACGAAAGCGUGGGGAGCAAACAGGAUUAGAUACCCUAGUAGUCCAGGCGUU
rnacentral:rRNA from 1 species